CAGCUUUCUCACAACCAUCAACUCUCCAACUCUCAGUAGCUACUUCUAAUAUGAGUUGUUCUGCAAUUUGCAGGAAAGGCAGGAGUUCUCCUUCCCUGAAAAACAUAUAUUGCCACCCUAGUCUUGUUGAUGCUCAUCGGAAUCCUUUGUGGGAGUACUCUGAAAACAUUUUUGCUUUUUGCUACUACCAUGAGCACCAAUUGGGAGCAACAAGUAUUAUCUUACUCUUUGUUAAAUUCAGUCUUCUACUACAUUCAGAUGUUUCCCUUUUACCGUCUUUGCUUAACUUUUUCUCAGGCAAGGCAGGCAAGGACAGAGUGUGUACUUCCAGCAUCCUGACGGAUGUGGCAUCAGGAAGCUGUUUAUGUCAUGACAUUUGGACAUGAUAAGUGAAUUGCUUUGGGGGAGAUGUAAGCAGAAGUUACAUGCAUAAGAGGCAGUGAAUGGAGGACAAUUAUGAAUCCAAAUAAGGAGUAAUCAUGUUUCUCUAUGAUGAUCCAAUAUCAACCUGAAGAAUGGAAAUUCCUAGCAGCCCUUCUCAUUUGGCUAUAAUUGUGUAAUGUUUUCCUCAAACUCUGAACUCAGAAACAAUGCUGAGUUCCUUGAUCCUAUAAGGGUGUGUUUGGUACACAAGCAUAGAAAUGGAAUGGGAAUAAAAAUGAAGGAGGAUCACAAUAUCAUGUGUAAGAGAGGAAUCAAAAUCCUUAAAAUGUUGGAAUUUAGUUUCCAUAAAAAGGAAUGUCUUUAUUCCUAUUCUCAUUUCUAAUUGUUAUCCAAACGUAGUAACGAAUCGAAAUGAAAUGAAAUUCCCAUUCUCAUCCUAUUCCAGUGUUCCAAACAUGAUUUUAAGUUGUUAGUGACUCAAUGUAAUCUUCUUUUUUUGUCUAUUUCUUUUUUCUUUUGUACUAAUGAAAAGUGGACUUUUGGGAUUU